AUGACAAGCACUUUGAAAAGAGGGUGAAAAGAACCUGAAACCGUCACGGGGGAAGCGGAUUGCGUUGGCCUGGUGGGCGCCUGUGUGUUCAGCCCGUUGCUGGGUGCAUUGGCACAGGUGCUUAUCCGCCGUGGGUUUCCAGGGGUCGAAGUUGGACCCCCGGGGACUGAGGGCUCCCCUUAAUGGGUCGAGGACGGCGGAGUGACGACGCGAUACGACCCGUCUUGAAACACGGACCAAGGAGUCUAGCGCGGGUGCGAGUCAAAGGGUGCAAGCCCGUGGGCGCAGUGAAAGCGAGUCCAUUAAAAACGGAACAGUUUGAGGCGGCAUAAGAUCGCUGAUCUUAAGACCGACCUAGAGCAGUUGCGCUGGGACCCGAAAGAUGGUGAACUAUGCCGGAGUAGGGCAAAGCCAGAGGAAACUCUGGUGGAGGCUCGUAGCGGUGCUGACGUGCAAAUCGCUCGUCAAACUUGGGUAUUGGGGCGAAAGACUAAUCGAACCAUCUAGUAGCUGGU
rnacentral:rRNA from 1 species